AUGCUUGCUUUGCAUAAUGAAUGCCUUACCCGCUGCUAUCUUCUUCACCGCAUCCAUCUCCUGGAGGGCCUUGUGGGCUUCAGCCUUGGUGCUCCGUCCGCUUUCGAGUGCCUUCUCAAGCUCGGACUCUCACGUCUUAGAGUCAAGCUCCAUGGACUCAUGUUUUUUGGCGAGAGCCUCGAACUCUUGCUGCACCUUGCCUACCCGGGCUUAUUGCUUUUCUCGCUCAAUGCUCUCCUUGGACGCUUUGUCUUCGGCCUCGGACAGCGCCUUCUUCAGGGUCGCCACCUCAGUUGUGUCCCCUGA
rnacentral:rRNA from 1 species